GAUGAACGCUGGCGGCGUGCCUAAUACAUGCAAGUCGAGCGAACAGACGAGGAGCUUGCUCCUCUGACGUUAGCGGCGGACGGGUGAGUAACACGUGGAUAACCUACCUAUAAGACUGGGAUAACUUCGGGAAACCGGAGCUAAUACCGGAUAAUAUAUUGAACCGCAUGGUUCAAUAGUGAAAGACGGUUUUGCUGUCACUUAUAGAUGGAUCCGCGCCGCAUUAGCUAGUUGGUAAGGUAACGGCUUACCAAGGCAACGAUGGGUAGCCGACCUGAGAGGGUGAUCGGCAACACUGGAACUGGGACACGGGACAUACUCCUACGGGAGGCAGCAGUAGGGAAUAUUCCGCAAUGGGCGAAAGCCUGACGGAGCAACGCCGCGUGAGUGAUGAAGGUCUUCGGAUCGUAAAACUCUGUUAUUGGGGAAGAACAAAUGUGUAAGUAACUAUGCACGUCUUGACGGUACCUAAUCAGAAAGCCACGGCUAACUACGUG
rnacentral:rRNA from 1 species